AUUGAACGCUGGCGGCAUGCUUUACACAUGCAAGUCGAACGGUAACAUGGGUGCUUGCACCUGAUGACGAGUGGCGAACGGGUGAGUAAUGCAUCGGAACGUGCCCAGUAGUGGGGGAUAACUACUCGAAAGAGUGGCUAAUACCGCAUGAGAUCUGUGGAUGAAAGCGGGGGGACCUUCGGGCCUCGCGCUACUGGAGCGGCCGAUGUCAGAUUAGGUAGUUGGUGGGGUAAGAGCCUACCAAGCCUGCGAUCUGUAACUGGUCUGAGAGGACGACCAGUCACACUGGGACUGAGACACGGCCCAGACUCCUACGGGAGGCAGCAGUGGGGAAUUUUGGACAAUGGGGGCAACCCUGAUCCAGCAAUGCCGCGUGCAGGACGAAGGCCUUCGGGUUGUAAACUGCUUUUGUACGGAACGAAAAGACCCUCUCUAAUACAGGGGUGCAUGACGGUACCGUAAGAAUAAGCACCGGCUAACUACGU
rnacentral:rRNA from 1 species